AUUGAACGCUGGCGGCAUGCCUUACACAUGCAAGACGAACGGUAACAGGCCGCAAGGUGCUGACGAGUGGCGAACGGGUGAGUAAUGCAUCGGAACGUGCCCAGUCGUGGGGGAUAACGCAGCGAAAGCUGUGCUAAUACCGCAUACGAUCUAUGGAUGACAGCGGGGGACCGUAAGGCCUCGCGCGUUUGGAACGGCCGAUGUCAGAUUAGGUAGUUGGUGGGGAAAGGCCCACCCAGCCAACGAUCUGUAGCUGGUCUGAGAGGACGACCAGCCACACUGGGACUGAGACACGGCCCAGACUCCUACGGGAGGCAGCAGUGGGGAAUUUUGGACAAUGGGCGCAAGCCUGAUCCAGCAAUGCCGCGUGCAGGAAGAAGGCCUUCGGGUUGUAAACUGCUUUUGUACGGAACGAAAAGGUCCGGGUUAAUACCCUGGGCUCAUGACGGUACCGUAAGAAUAAGCACCGGCUAACUACGUGCCAGCCGCCGCGGUAA
rnacentral:rRNA from 1 species